rnacentral:rRNA from 1 species
GAUGAACGCUGACAGCAUGCUUAACACAUGCAAGUCGACCUGAAAGUGGGUGUUUAACUUAGGUUUGGGUGGCGCACGGGUGAGUAAAGCGUAAGGAUAUCGCGUCACAGCUAGGGACAUAAUUUGGAAACGAAUGCUAUAACACAUGAUAGGAUCACCUGCUGCUCGGUGAGUGUUGAAAAGUUUAGGCGGUUGGGGAUGGCUUCGCGUCUUAUCAGCUUGUUGGGGGGGUAGUGGCUUACCAAGGCGUUGAUGGGUAGCCGGCCUGAGAGGGUGACCGGCAACAAGGGAACGGAGACACGGCCAGUACUCCAACGGGAGGCAGAGGGGGGAAAUAUGGGACAAGGGAGCGAGAGUCUGAUCCAGAAAUUCUGUGUGCACGAUGGAGUUUUUCGGAAUGUAAAGUGCUUUCAGUUGGGAAGGAGCAAAUGACGGUACCAACAGAAGAAGUGACGGCUAAAUACGUG